rnacentral:tRNA from 1 species
CUUAAAAUCCGUUGACCGUAAAAGGUCGUGUGGGUUC